rnacentral:rRNA from 1 species
GAUGAACGCUGGCGGCGUGCCUAAUACAUGCAAGUCGAGCGAACAGACGAGGAGCUUGCUCCCCUGACGUUAGCGGCGGACGGGUGAGUAACACGUGGAUAACCUACUUAUAAGACUGGGAUAACUUCGGGAAACCGGAGCUAAUACUGGCUAAUAUAUUGAACCGCAUGGUUCAAUAGUGAAAGACGGCUUUGCUGUCACUUAUAGAUGGAUCCGCGCCGCAUUAGCUAGUUGGUAAGGUAACGGCCUACCAAGGCGACGAUGCGUAGCCGACCUGAGAGGAUGAUCAGCCACACUGGAACUGAGACACGGUCCAGACUCCUACGGGAGGCAGCAGUAGGGAAUCUUCCGCAAUGGGCGAAAGCCUGACGGAGCAACGCCGCGUGAGUGAUGAAGGUCUUCGGAUCGUAAAGCUCUGUUAUUAGGGAAGAACAGAUGUGUAAGUAACUAUGCACGUCUUGACGGUACCUAAUCAGAAAGCCACGGCUAACUACGUG